CCUACGGGAGGCAGCAGUGAGGAAUAUUGGUCAAUGGGCGAGCGCCUGAACCAGCCAAGUCGCGUGAAGGAGGACGGCCCUAUGGGUUGUAAACUUCUUUUGUCAGGGAGCAAUUGGGGCUACGCGUAGGCUUAGCGAGAGUACCUGAAGAACAAGCAUCGGCUAACUCCGUGCCAGCAGCCGCGGUAAUACGGAGGAUGCGAGGGUUAUCCGGAUUUAUUGGGUUUAAAGGGUGCGUAGGCGGAAUAGCAAGUCAGCGGUAAAACGGCGGGGCGCAAACUCGUCGUGCCGUUGAAACUGACGUGCUUGAGUGGGAGAGAAGUAUGCGGAAUGCGUGGUGUAGCGGUGAAAUGCAUAGAUAUCACGCAGAACUCCGAUUGCGAAGGCAGCAUACCGGCGCCCAACUGACGCUGAAGCACGAAAGCGUGGGUAUCGAACAGGAUUAGAUACCCGAGUAGUC
rnacentral:rRNA from 1 species